GACGAACCGUGCGAACGUUGUUCGGAAUCACUGGGCUUAAAGGGCGCGUAGGCGGCCUUCUAAGUCAGACGUGAAAUCCCCGGGCUCAACCCGGGAACUGCGUCUGAUACUGGAAGGCUUGAAUCCGGGAGAGGGAUGUGGAAUUCCAGGUGUAGCGGUGAAAUGCGUAGAUAUCUGGAGGAACACCGGUGGCGAAGGCGGCAUCCUGGACCGGUAUUGACGCUGAGGCGCGAAAGCCAGGGGAGCAAACGGG
rnacentral:rRNA from 1 species